rnacentral:sRNA from 1 species
GUUCACUCAAACGACGCAAUCCCUACCUCUAUUGCAUCCUUACAGCUCCGAAGCUGAUCCAGUGUGAUCGAGUGACAAAACGUA